rnacentral:rRNA from 1 species
ACGAGCCCCUAAACGACUCACUAUAGGGAAAGCUUGCAUGCAGGCCUCUGCAGUCGACGGGCCCGGGAUCCGAUUCUGAUCUAGAGGUACCGGAUCCUUUUUUUUUUUUUUCCGCCAUUACCCCCCCAUCCCUUUCUAACCCCCUCCCCAAAUGGGGAAAAAGGUGCAACCCCCCGGGGGGGCCCAAUGGAGAAAGGUUAAAAAGAAAGGGGACCCCUAUUUUCUAGGGUCCACAAACCAAAGGAUUUGGAAGAACAAUCCCCAAGAGGAAAAGGGCCUUUCUUCACAAUUUCAAAAGUUAAAAACCUUAUUUUCGGCAACAAAAACCCCAAAAAAAACCAUUGGAGAAAAAUAAAGAAAAGGCGGGGGGCUUCCUCUACUUUAAAGCCUUUGCCGGGGUCCCGAGCUCAAUUUCCCGGGCCGUCUUUUACAAAAGGCCUACUAAUAAGGUGUCUGUGGGAUGGUUGAAACUCUGCCACACGAACUUUCCCUUUGAGUCAUGUAGCACCAUGUUACCAUUAGGUAACAGCUUGAACCCUGUCACGCCUUUAUUGGCCGUGUUUGUUUGCCAAACGAUUCGACCAUUGGCCUCAGCCAAGACAAGAUUCCAUCCGUUCCCAACGAGAACGUAGCGUUUCUUAACGGGGUUCCCCCUAUUGCCUCCCACACCCAACGCAUGAGUGAUUCAGAACGGACAGUGCCCAUUCGCAAUGCUAGUGUCCAUGCAUUAGGAGUAGAGUGUAGAAACAGAGCUGGAAUGAGUUAGUGAACACACUAAGACGCGAUAAUCUGCUCUGUAUUCGACAUAAAGGUCCUAAGUCGGCUCAUGACGCUGAGGUGUUCAUCUGACUGGCAUGCACAAGUAUGGAACGAAGAGAGCAAAGUGAUAUCAUGAAGAACUGUACCAUCGCUAGUGAGUCGAUGACGCCGCUCACUGCGUCAUUCAGG